UCCUCAAUAGCUCAGUUGGUUAGAGCAUCUGACUGUUAAUCAGAAGGUCGUUGGUUCAAAUCCAACUUGAGGAG
rnacentral:tRNA from 1 species